UCAGCCACAUUUUCUAAACCCAGAAGGCCACACAUUGCGAGACUUCCGGGAACGUUUGCGAAGUAGACUCGGGAGACCAGACCUGGGUUUGGGGUUUGAGAACUGAAUGAGAGAAGUGGACAAUUCUUUCAUAGUUAUUCAUUUUCUAUCUAAAGAAUCUAAAGAAACAACCUAGAUAACCAAUGUGUGUCAUCUCUCAACUAGGUAAUCUGUUUCAACCUGGAACACUGUGCUCCUUGAUUUGUAAUCAGGUAUAAGCUGGGCUGGAACAAAAGUGUAUACUGUACACACUCCUGCUAUUCAUAUCUGGAGCCGUCCACCUCUUUAAGUCAUUAUUCUGUACUAUGGGUACAGCUGAACUUGUUGACUGAUACCAAGGCGGCGGAUGUUAAGAAGAAGGGAGAAGACUGCAGCCAAGGCAGCACUGGUCCACACCUGCCCUGUCUUGUCAGUAGAUGCAGACCCGAAGACAUACAAGCAGCACUUUGAGAGCAAGCAUUCCAAGUCUCCAAUGGUCCCAGUACUGGUUGAUGUGUAGGUCUAAGUGACCACACACACUGAAAUGGACCUACAGCUGGGAGACACACGAUGACCAAGAUUUGAAUGACAUUGAGGGACACUCUGAGACCCCGAGAAUGACUAGACAUGGGCCGGAUAUUUGUGACUGAUUUAAAAGGGGUGUAGAAGAACACCAGCACCCCAUUUUAUGUUUAUUCCACAGCCAACCAUUCCUCUACCUACCCCUUAUUCCACACUGACUUUUAUGCCCCAUGGUCCCUCAACUUCUAACAUUUUGGAACUCUCCAUCUUAUCUCUAUAAACCCACCUUACCGUCACCCAUUUUCCCUAUGCUGCUUCCUUAAUUAAAUUUUUUAUAUUUUUUUUAUAUCCGAAACAUACAAUAUAGUUGCAGUGAAGCCGCUCAACAACUACAUCAUACCAGUCAUCCAACAGUCUCCCAUUCAGAGCAACUCAGGGUCAAUGCCCUGAGAAGCAUCCAGGGUCAAUGCCCUGCUCAAGGGCACGUUGACAGAUUUCCCACCAAGCCAAAAAACUGAACCCGAACAAUCCAAGACCCCCCCCCACAGUUCCCCAACCAAUAACUGUCCCUCAACCAUUCGAGACCCCUCCCACAGUCCCCCCCCCCCCCCGAAUAAAAACUUAAAAAUAAAAUUAAUUCCAUUCCCCACCCCCAAGAACCCCUCAAUGCACCAACAACCAAGAGAAUGAACUAAAGAGAAAAAAGAAAAAGACAGAAGAAAACAGCAAACAACAAUGAAAAAAAGAAAAGUUAAACAAAGGACAUCAAGGACAACUAAAAUCAUAACAGCAAUGCCAACUGUAUAUGUUUGUGUGCAUGUCUGGCACUAUUACAUGUAUGUGUGUGUUCUUGUAUGCAUUUAUUUUAAUGAGAGUGUGUGUAUAUGCAUGUGUACAAACACCUGCACGGCAUCAGCCUUAGGCAAACCGGCAUUAGUUGCUUCCUUAACUUGUUCUUCUUCUGAUUUGAUAGCAUCUAGACUCAGUAACACGUUUAAAAGUUUUGUGGUGUACUGUUUUUGCUACUUUUUUUUCACCUGUGUAAAGCUGUCCUGUGUAUUCUGGGGUUCAGACUGAAUGCAGUGGUAAAUUGACAGCAGCAACAUUCAAUUGACAAGAUAGGUGUUGAUAUAGCUGUGUUUAGGCAUGGCUUCCUUGUUUUGUUUCUCAUUCUGCUGGAGUUGACCUAGUAUUUUAUAAUAACCUACCUUACACAUCCAGUUGUUUCUCCAUUUGUAACUCACCCACCAAAAAUCACAAUAUGCUGUCUUACAUGUUGUGUUAUUUGUGCUGGUCUAAUUCCUAAAAUGGAAAAUCAGAAGAAUCUGUGUCUCUCUGAUUGUAAUAAUAGUUCAUAUGGUGCUCUG